GAUAAACGCUGGCGGCGUGCCUAAUACAUGCAAGUCGAGCGAACGGACGAGAAGCUUGCUUCUCUGAUGUUAGCGGCGGACGGGUGAGUAACACGUGGAUAACCUACCUAUAAGACUGGGAUAACUUCGGGAAACCGGAGCUAAUACCGGAUAAUAUUUUGAACCGCAUGGUUCAAAAGUGAAAGACGGUCUUGCUGUCACUUAUAGAUGGAUCCGCGCUGCAUUAGCUAGUUGGUAAGGUAACGGCUUACCAAGGCAACGAUGCAUAGCCGACCUGAGAGGGUGAUCGGCCACACUGGAACUGAGACACGGUCCAGACUCCUACGGGAGGCAGCAGUAGGGAAUCUUCCGCAAUGGGCGAAAGCCUGACGGAGCAACGCCGCGUGAGUGAUGAAGGUCUUCGGAUCGUAAAACUCUGUUAUUAGGGAAGAACAUAUGUAUAAGUAACUGUGCACAUCUUGACGGUACCUAAUCAGAAAGCCACGGCUAACUACGUGCCAGCAGCCGCGGUAAUACGUAGGUGGCAAGCGUUAUCCGGAAUUAUUGGGCGUAAAGCGCGCGUAGGCGGUUUUUUAAGUCUGAUGUGAAAGCCCACGGCUCAACCGUGGAGGGUCAUUGGAAACUGGAAAACUUGAGUGCAGAAGAGGAAAGUGGAAUUCCAUGUGUAGCGGUGAAAUGCGCAGAGAUAUGGAGGAACACCAGUGGCGAAGGCGACUUUCUGGUCUGUAACUGACGCUGAUGUGCGAAAGCGUGGGGAUCAAACAGGAUUAGAUACCCUGGUAGUCCACGCCGUAAACGAUGAGUGCUAAGUGUUAGGGGGUUUCCGCCCCUUAGUGCUGCAGCUAACGCAUUAAGCACUCCGCCUGGGGAGUACGACCGCAAGGUUGAAACUCAAAGGAAUUGACGGGGACCCGCACAAGCGGUGGAGCAUGUGGUUUAAUUCGAAGCAACGCGAAGAACCUUACCAAAUCUUGACAUCCUUUGACAACUCCAGAGAUAGAGCCUUCCCCUUCGGGGGACAAAGUGACAGGUGGUGCAUGGUUGUCGUCAGCUCGUGUCGUGAGAUGUUGGGUUAAGUCCCGCAACGAGCGCAACCCUUAAGCUUAGUUGCCAUCAUUAAGUUGGGCACUCUAAGUUGACUGCCGGUGACAAACCGGAGGAAGGUGGGGAUGACGUCAAAUCAUCAUGCCCCUUAUGAUUUGGGCUACACACGUGCUACAAUGGACAAUACAAAGGGCAGCGAAACCGCGAGGUCAAGCAAAUCCCAUAAAGUUGUUCUCAGUUCGGAUUGUAGUCUGCAACUCGACUACAUGAAGCUGGAAUCGCUAGUAAUCGUAGAUCAGCAUGCUACGGUGAAUACGUUCCCGGGUCU
rnacentral:rRNA from 1 species